rnacentral:lncRNA from 1 species
ACGUAGCUUGGUUCAACAGAGCUAUGUUGGAAGUCCGCAACCUAGAUCACUCGAUUGCAAUGUUUGCCUUGAAGGGUGGAUUGUUGAUAGAUGACUUCAAAAAAUCAUUAUUGUAGACCUUUCCUUGAUAUUUUUUAAAAAUACUGGCUCGGAUAGAGAAAUAUGUCUGAUUGAAAUAUUCUCUGACGAAAGAAACCAUUCGAAUAACCCCAACUGUGAAGAAUUAA